AUAGAGAGCCACUACAACCUUAUCCCCUAUGAAAAAUCCAGUCAUCCCAACAUAAAAAAAGGUCCAAAACCCCACAUUUUUCUUCACACAUCAAAGUCCAUACACGAGCAAGCAAAACAAGCAAGUGUCCAUGUGUGUUUGAGAAAGAGUGAGUGAGUGAGUGAGAGAGAGAUCAAUGGCCUCAACCGAUGCUUCUUGCACCACCAUGCAGGCGCAACACACUCUACUCAAAAUAGAUCAUCUUCUUUGUCUAACCGCUACCUCAAGCCUACACGGCCAUUAGCUAUGCGCAGAAUUGGGCUGCACUUUGAGUAGAAGAUGGCACAGACACCAUGUCCUGAAGGUUGGCUCUUGUUAUUUUUAUAGGGGCAGCCACCAAUGGAUCUAAGGUUUUACCUGCUGACGUUGCCUAUAGAGAAUCUGAUAAUACUUGAGUUACCAUUACCAAAUAUUUUAUUUGUUGUUGAUAGUACUCUCUGAUACAAUUUACCAAAUAUUCUUGUUCCAUCAUUUACUACUAUUGUAUGAAAAAUUAAAUGCAGCCAACAUAUUUGGGAAGCCAAAGACAAACACAGAGUUCUUGCCAUACAACGGGGAUGGAUUGACGUACGAUGGAAACGUGGAUAAUAAGUAAUACACGAACCAUUAUUUGCUCGAAUUUCGUUUGAAUGAACGUAGGAAUAUCAAAUUAGCUAGCUGUCUCGGGUCGCCCGUGGCUCGACCCGGAAAAAACUCGAGUGGGCAAAAUGAAGCUCAAACCAUUUUACUCGAGUCAAGACCGAGAAACCUGGCUUGUUGACACCACUAAAUGGUUGGAAUAUUUAUUUGGCAGUUGAUCUAGAACAUAUAGUCGAAUGGAUGGAAGAAGAAUUUGAUAAAAAUAAGGAAAAUGUAAUAGCAUAGAGAACAUUCGAAUUUCGAUUUGGGUCCAUAUGACAAUUCCGAAAAGAUGAUGACAAGAAAAGUAAUACUCAUAGCUAUGCGAUGAUGUACAAUGGAUGUCGAUUGUUUGAGUUCAUUUAGGACUCGAAAACCAAAUUUUAAAGGUUUAGUGCUAUUUUUGUCAUUUAGUUUAUUUUGAAUUCUUUUCAAUUUUAGUUUGUUUAAACUUCCUUUUCAUUAGUUUUAGUCAUUUUAAACUAGGUUUUCAUGUAAACCUUUAUAAACAAGAGGC
rnacentral:lncRNA from 1 species